AAAUACUCCUGACUGACCGAUAGUGAACCAGUACCGUGAGGGAAAGGCGAAAAGAACCCCGGCGAGGGGAGUGAAAAAGAACCUGAAACCGUGUACGUACAAGCAGUGGGAGCCCCACCACUAAGCCAGUGGUGAACUCCACAUACGCAUCCUUUGCUGAGGAGACGGUUAACGGAGCGAAAGCGACGUUCAACCUCAAAAGAAGCAGAGGGGGCUUAGUGGUGGGGUGACUGCGUACCUUUUGUAUAAUGGGUCAGCGACUUAUAUUCUGUAGCAAGGUUAACUGUAUAGGGGAGCCGGAGGGAAACCGAGUCUUAACCGGGCGUUAAGUUGCAGGGUAUAGACCCGAAACCCGGUGAUCUAGCCAUGGGCAGGUUGAAGGUUGGGUAACACUAACUGGAGGACCGAACCGACUAAUGUUGAAAAAUUAGCGGAUGACCUGUGGCUGGGGGUGAAAGGCCAAUCAAACCGGGAGAUAGCUGGUUCUCCCCGAAAGCUAUUUAGGUAGCGCCUCGUGAAUUCAUCUCCGGGGGUAGAGCACUGUUUCGGCUAGGGGGCCAUCCCGGCUUACCAACCCGAUGCAAACUGCGAAUACCGGAGAAUGUUAUCACGGGAGACACACGGCGGGUGCUAAUGUCCGUCGUGAAGAGGGAAACAACCCAGACCGCCAGCUAAGGUCCCAAAGUCAUGGUUAAGUGGGAAACGAUGUGGGAAGGCCCAGACAGCCAGGAUGUUGGCUUAGAAGCAGCCAUCAUUUAAAGAAAGCGUAAUAGCUCACUGGUCGAGUCGGCCUGCGCGGAAGAUGUAACGGGGCUAAACCAUGCACCGAAGCUGCGGCAGCGACACCGUGUGUUGUUGGGUAGGGGAGCGUUCUGUAAGCCUGUGAAGGUGUGCUGUGAGGCAUGCUGGAGGUAUCAGAAGUGCGAAUGCUGACAUAAGUAACGAUAAAGCGGGUGAAAAGCCCGCUCGCCGGAAGACCAAGGGUUCCUGUCCAACGUUAAUCGGGGCAGGGUGAGUCGACCCCUAAGGCGAGGCCGAAAGGCGUAGUCGAUGGGAAACGGGUUAAUAUUCCCGUACUUGGUGUUACUGCGAAGGGGGGACGGAGAAGGCUAUGUUGGCCGGGCGACGGUUGUCCCGGUUUAAGCGUGUAGGUAUGUGUUCCAGGUAAAUCCGGUUCACUUUAACACUGAGGCGUGACGACGAGGCACUACGGUGCUGAAGCAACAAAUGCCCUGCUUCCAGGAAAAGCCUCUAAGCAUCAGGUAACAUCAAAUCGUACCCCAAACCGACACAGGUGGUCAGGUAGAGAAUACCAAGGCGCUUGAGAGAACUCG
rnacentral:rRNA from 1 species